rnacentral:rRNA from 1 species
UACGGAGGGUGCGAGCGUUGUCCGGAAUCACUGGGCGUAAAGGGCGCGUAGGCGGCGCGGGUAGUCAUCGGUGAAAGUUCAGGGCUCAACUCUGAAUCGGCCGGUGAUACUCCCGUGCUCGAGCACUGUAGAGGCAGGUGGAAUUCCGGGUGUAGCGGUGGAAUGCGUAGAGAUCCGGAAGAACACCAGUGGCGAAGGCGACUCACUGGACACGUAUUGACGCUGAGGAGCGAAAGCCAGGGGAGCAAACGGG